rnacentral:rRNA from 1 species
CCUACGGGAGGCAGCAGUGGGGAAUAUUGGGCAAUGGAGGCAACUCUGACCCAGCAACGCCGCGUGAAUGAUGAAGGUCUUCGGAUUGUAAAGUUCUGUGAUGGGGGAUGAACACAAUGACGGUACCCCAAUAGCAAGCCACGGCUAACUACGUGCCAGCAGCCGCGUUAAUACGUAGGUGGCAAGCGUUAUCCGGAAGGACUGGGCGUAAGGGGUGCGUAGGUGGUUUGGUAAGUUGGCGGUGUAAUUCCGGGGCGCAACCUCGGCGCUACCGCCAAAACUAUUAGACUAGAGUGCAGGAGGGGGAAGUGGAAUUCCUAGUGUAGCGGUGGAAUGCGGAGAUAUUAGGAGGAACAUCAGGGGCGAAGGCGACUUACUGGACUGUAACUGACACUGAGGCACGAAAGCGUGGGGAGCAAACAGGAUUAGAUACCCGAGUAGUC